AGCGAACGCUGGCGGCAUGCCUAACACAUGCAAGUCGAACGAGAUCUUCGGGUCUAGUGGCGCACGGGUGCGUAACGCGUGGGAAUCUGCCCUUUGGUUCGGAAUAACAAUUGGAAACGACUGCUAAUACCGGAUGAUGACGAAAGUCCAAAGAUUUAUCGCCAGAGGAUGAGCCCGCGUAGGAUUAGCUAGUUGGUGUGGUAAAGGCGCACCAAGGCGACGAUCCUUAGCUGGUCUGAGAGGAUGAUCAGCCACACUGGGACUGAGACACGGCCCAGACUCCUACGGGAGGCAGCAGUGGGGAAUAUUGGACAAUGGGCGAAAGCCUGAUCCAGCAAUGCCGCGUGAGUGAUGAAGGCCUUAGGGUUGUAAAGCUCUUUUACCCGGGAUGAUAAUGACAGUACCGGGAGAAUAAGCUCCGGCUAACUCCGUGCCAGCCGCCGCCGUAAUAC
rnacentral:rRNA from 1 species